rnacentral:rRNA from 1 species
AUUGAACGCUGGCGGCAGGCUUAACACAUGCAAGUCGAGCGGGGGAAGGUAGCUUGCUACCGGACCUAGCGGCGGACGGGUGAGUAAUGCUUAGGAAUCUGCCUAUUAGUGGGGGACAACAUCUCGAAAGGGAUGCUAAUACCGCAUACGUCCUACGGGAGAAAGCAGGGGAUCUUCGGACCUUGCGCUAAUAGAUGAGCCUAAGUCGGAUUAGCUAGUUGGUGGGGUAAAGGCCUACCAAGGCGACGAUCUGUAGCGGGUCUGAGAGGAUGGUCCGCCACACUGGGACCGAGACACGGCCCAGACUCCUACGGGAGGCAGCAGUGGGGAAUAUUGGACAAUGGGGGGAACCCUGAUCCAGCCAUGCCGCGUGUGUGAAGAAGGCCUUAUGGUUGUAAAGCACUUUAAGCGAGGAGGAGGCUACUCUAGUUAAUACCUAGGGAUAGUGGACGUUACUCGCAGAAUAAGCACCGGCUAACUCUGUGCCAGCAGCCGCGGUAA